rnacentral:lncRNA from 1 species
AUGGGAGACGGACGACUGGAGAAGAACCAGCACAUGGGACAAUCUCCAAGACAUACUCUGGAGUCUAGCACUUUGAGACAAAGGUGUUGGCAGCGCCGGUUCCUUCUGAGAGCCAUGAGGGAACAAUAUCACAGGAGCAAGAGGGUUCCUGCACAACAGGGCAUCCGCAGCAGCCUUGCUGCCAUCACCUGGCUUCACCUUCUAGACUCCUUUGAACAUGUGGAAGAUACUGAGGCCCAGAGAAACCUACCAAGAGAUUUUACUGCAAGCUUUCCAACACCUCAGCAGUUACUUCAGUUCAUCCUUCACAUGUCAGCCACUUCUCUUGCUCUGCCUUGGCAGAAUCACCAAAAAGGUAUUAGAUGGUGACUGAGGUCACAUGUUUUUACAGGAAUUGGGGAUGGUUGGGGGGUGGGGUGGGCAGUCUGAGGCAGUGUCCGUUUUUCCAUUUUCUAUAGAACACGAGGGGUGUGUGAACAGAGGAACUGAAA